UACGUAGGGUGCGAGCGUUAAUCGGAAUUACUGGGCGUAAAGGGCUCGUAGGCGGCCAACUAAGUCCGACGUGAAAUCCCCAGGCUUAACCUGGGAACUGCGUCGGAUACUGGAUGGCUUGAAUCCGGGAGAGGGAUGCGGAAUUCCAGGUGUAGCGGUGAAAUGCGUAGAUAUCUGGAGGAACACCGGUGGCGAAGGCGGCAUCCUGGACCGGCAUUGACGCUGAGGAGCGAAAGCCAGGGGAGCAAACGGG
rnacentral:rRNA from 1 species